rnacentral:rRNA from 1 species
GUGGGGAAUAUUGGUCAAUGGACGGAAGUCUGAACCAGCCAUGCCGCGUGCAGGAAUAAGGUCCUAUGGAUUGUAAACUGCUUUUAUUCGGGAAUAAACCUCUUUACGUGUAGGGAGCUGAAGGUACCGAAGGAAUAAGCACCGGCUAACUCCGUGCCAGCAGCCGCGGUAAUACGGAGGGUGCAAGCGUUAUCCGGAAUCAUUGGGUUUAAAGGGUCCGCAGGCGGGCUAUCAAGUCAGAGGUGAAAUCCCACAGCUUAACUGUGGAACUGCCUUUGAAACUGAUGGUCUUGAAUUAAGUGGGCGUUGGCGGAAUAUGACAUGUAGCGGUGAAAUGCAUAGAUAUGUCAUGGAACACCGAAAGCGAAGGCAGCUAACGAUACUUAUAUUGACGCUCAUGGACGAAAGCGUGGGUAGCGAACAGGAUUAGAAACCCGAGUAGUCC